UUUUAGAUAAAUUCUGCUCAAUGACAAAUUUAAAUAGCUGCAGUAAAUUAACUGUACUAAGGUAGCAUAAUAAGUUGCUUUAUAAUUAAAAGCUUGAAUGAAAGAAACAAUGUGAAACAGACUUUUUAGACUAAGAAAGUAAAAAUUAAUAUUUAAGUAAAAAAUCUUAAAUUAAAUCAAAAGACAAGAAGACCCUUUAGAAUUUUACAAGUUAAAUUAUAUUAAUUAAAUUGACUUAUUAAGUUGGGGAGAUUUUUAAAUAGAUAAAUCUUUAAAUAUAAAAAAAUGAACUAUCUCAAAUUAAAUUAUCCAAAUAAGAAUUAAAACAAGUUACCUAAGGGAUAACAGCGCAAAAUUUUUGAGAAGCUCCCAUUCACAAAAUAAAUUGCGACCUCGAUGUUGGAUUAAGAA
rnacentral:rRNA from 1 species